CCAGUGGAGCAUGUCACUUCCAAAAUUUGUUCUGGCUCCAUCACCUCAUUCUUCGGGAAGCUCGUGAUGGCUAAUUAAGGUCUCUCUACCUCUCGAUGUCUCAGUGAGUUUGACGGUCCUUUUUGAUACUGGAAGCUUGGAUAUGUGGGUACCUAAUCCAGGUUGGAGGAGUCGCGAUUGUCUAAAAUAUAUAUCUGGGGAAUCAUCAAAUUACAAACAGAAAGGUACGUAUUCCUCUAAUGGUCUCAUUUUUGGCAAUAUCCAUGGAGCAUGAUUAAUGUCUAACUUUAGAUAUUAUAAGAGCAUCAACAAAUCUCGCAUAUGGUGAUGAUAAUAAAACUCACGGAUUACCUUUGCAAAUAUGAUGUAACGACUGGUGACAUUCUUUUUCUUUUGUAACUUAGACUGGUGACAUUCUUGUGAAGCAACAAGUAAGACUGAUCUUACAUUUACUUGGAUUGAUUUUAUUCGUUUCUAUUUGAGGUUACUGGGAAAGCUAAAAGAAGUCCGCCUUUAAUGGAACCUUUCGAUGGUCUUCUUGGGUUGGAUUCCAACAAAAUUCUUUGAAAGAGUCACACACCAUUUGAUGAAGAAAAUGGAGUCAUCAUUUUCGGGGGACUGGAC